GAUCUUCUCCUUCAUGGGAGAUGAUUGAAAGAUGGUUUCGGCUAUCACUUACAGAUGGGCCCGCGGUGCAUUAGCUAGUUGGUGAGGUAACGGCUCACCAAGGCAACGAUGCAUAGCCGACCUGAGAGGGUGAUCGGCCACACUGGGACUGAGACACGGCCCAGACUCCUACGGGAGGCAGCAGUAGGGAAUCUUCCGCAAUGGACGAAAGUCUGACGGAGCAACGCCGCGUGAGUGAUGAAGGCUUUCGGGUCGUAAAACUCUGUUGUUAGGGAAGAACAAGUACAAGAGUAACUGCUUGUACCUUGACGGUACCUAACCAGAAAGCCACGGCUAACUACGUGCCAGCAGCCGCGGUAAUACGUAGGUGGCAAGCGUUAUCCGGAAUUAUUGGGCGUAAAGCGCGCGCAGGCGGUUUCUUAAGUCUGAUGUGAAAGCCCACGGCUCAACCGUGGAGGGUCAUUGGAACUGGGGAACUUGAGUGCAGAAGAGAAAAGCGGAAUUCCACGUGUAGCGGUGAAAUGCGUAGAGAUGUGGAGGAACACCAGUGGCGAAGGCGGCUUUUUGGUCUGUAACUGACGCU
rnacentral:rRNA from 2 species